AUAUAUAUAUGAAACUCCCUGAGGGAUUGAAAAUGCCAAGGGCAUUGAAAGAAAAAUCCAGAGAGAUUUGUUCGGUCAAGUUACAGCGAUCACUUUACGGAUUAUAGUAAUCCGGACGCAUGUGGUACAAUCGCUUAAGUGAAUAUAUCUUGAAAAAGGGAUAUGUUAAUAAUGCGAUAUGUCCAUGUGUUUCUAUAAAGAAAUCGUCAUCUGGCUAUGUGAUCAUUGCUGUAUAUGUAGAUGACCUGAACAUAAUUGAAACUCAAAGAGAGGUUGAUGAUGCUCGAACUCAUAUGAAAGAGGAGUUCGAAAUGAAAGAUCUCGGAAAGACAAAUUUUUGUCUAGGGCUCCAGAUAGAGCAUUUCCGAGAAAGAAUAAUUGUGCAUCAAUCAAAUCAUACAAAAAGGUUAUUGAAAUACUUUGGUAUGAAUAAAGCGACUCCUUUGAGUACUCCAAUGGCAAAUAGAUCUCUCGAUGUUGAAAGAGAUGUUUAAAAGAUCCUGGUAAGAUCUUAUAUAAAUAAGUACUUUGGAGAUGCUAAUGGUAAUAAAGCAUAUAUGAGCUUAUAUAUCUUGCGAGUUGUAUUUGAUUAAAUAUACGUUUAGAGACUAAUGUCUUUGCAAGAUACAGCUCAUUUCCUAUUUAUGGAAAUUAGAAUGGCAUCGAGAACAUGUCAGUUCUCUCCAAGGUACGUAUUGAUUCAGAAUUGGUUUACCUAGAAACCCCGAGUUUGGUAUGGUUUUGCAGAUACUUGCCAUUUAUAAAGUCGAACGUAAACCGGAUAUGGUUUUACAAUUGGUGGAACCGCGAUCUCUUGGCGGUCCCAGAAACAAACUCUGGUUGCGGCAUCCUCGAAUCAUGCUGAAACUAUUGCGCUUCACGAAGCAUGUCGAGAAUAUGUGUCGCUUCGGUCAAUGAAUCACCAUAUACAAGAAUCAAGCGGAAUAGUCAACGAGAAAGAGCCGACGAAAUUUUUUUGAAGAUAAUUCGGUUUGUGUUGCUCAACUCAAGGAAGGCUACCUUAAGAGUGACAGAACAAAGCACAUCUCUCCAUGAUUUUUCUCGUACAUAAGGAAACUCGAGAAAAAUAAAGAAGUGGACAUCGAGUAUAUAAGGUCAUGUAAAAAUCCGGCUGACUUGUUUACCAAAACUCUUCCGACUACAACAUUCCGAAAACACGUUUACGGUAUCGGAAUGCGACGUUUGCGUGACCUGUGAAGAUAAGGCUAUGUCCAUUAUUCUCAGGGGGAGAUUACGUCACAGUACUCUUUUUUCCUUAUCAUGGUUUUUAUCCCAUCGGGUUUUUCCAUGACUAGGUUUUUAACGAGGCUGUACGUAAUACAAAAUGGAUAAUCAAGGGGGAGUGUUAGAAGAUAAAGAUCAAAAUAAGAUGAUUAUCCAUACACAUGUCUUUCUUACAGCAAUCAUGUCAUCUAUCACUUCUUAGUAUUUUAUCUUUUUCUAGUAAAGCAACCGACUUAUGUGUAGUAUAAAUAGCUAUUUCUAAACCUCAUGCUUGGCCUUCUCUUAAGUUCUACUCUUCACAGAUUUUACCACUUUUGAAUGAGUUCCAAGACCGGAAAGCUCAAUUCAGCCCUCGACACAACAUUAAGGGAGCCAUGCUUGUUGCGGAAAGUGUGAUUAAAAAGGAUCUCUUUCAAUCUUACAUUGCUAGAGGACAUCCUUCUUGGCUUACUAAUCUCUUUGUUUAAGUCAAAAUAUCCUCUAUGUUUUAUGGUUGUAAUUGUUCCUUGUGUAACAAUUCAGGAUUAUAUAUCUAUAAAAUUCUAGUGUUUAAAAAAAAAUGUGUAGUAUAAAUAGCAUUCAUUCUCUUUACUUUGUACGUACAACAAGAAGAAGAGUUUAUAACAAUAAGAAAAUCAUUUGCUCUCAUCUCUCAUUAUUCUCCAGCAUAAAUAUCCCACUAUAUAAAAGAAGCUAUUUUUAAGCUUCCUAAGGCAAUCCACAUGGUCAAAAUAAUCAGAACCAAUCAAUAUGCCAAGUCAUCACGAAGUGGGCUUGCAAUUGAAAAAAACAAAUCUUCGCGGCCCAGUCCAUAGCCUCAUCUCGCAACCUCUCUUGAUACGAAUUUUGUCACAGCCCAUUAAACCCAACUCGCAGACCAAUCCAGAGACGCUCUUACGGUUCGGGUUAUAUUAUAAUUGAGGUUCUGUUUUGCAGGAUCGAGUGGCGAAGGAGUUCCGAAAUGGUAAAGGAGUUUCGAAAUGGAGUUGGGAGGAUCCGAAAUUCUCAGAAGAGGCGAUUCAGCUUCCGACGUCAACGAUUGAGCAGCCGCCUUCGUUAUCGGAGCGUUUAUUGAUACCUACUCUUCUCGCAGGAGUAACAUGGGGAGGAGUUGGUUUACUGUGAAAGAGCAAGCAGCAGCGAUGGCAGAAUUAGUAGCAUAUGUAGCUGGUAUAUUGGGAUGAGCUUUCCUAUGGUGUUAUUAAAUUCUUUUAUUAUUCGAACUGAAACAAACAAAAAAAGUCAUCUACUCAGUCUCUCACGGAAGAUAUUUAUAAAGCAUCAAACCAUUUAUAAAUAAAAAGAAAACAGAGAACUCUAACAGUUUCUGAGGUGUUCGAUAUAACUACAAAUUCCAUCUUACUAAGAAGAUAUAAAUACAAUUUUUAUCUUACUAAGAAGAUAUAAGUAAGGAAGAAACCUAUUAAAUAUAAAAUUGAGUGAAUGCUUUGACUUUUUCAAGCAACAAAAAAAAAACACAGGCCACUUUUCCAAAUGAUUAAAGCUUCGAGAGCUAAUAUUCUCAAUUCUGGAUGACUAAAAAAUUAUAUGAUUCAAAUUAAAAAUAAAGCAUUUUUUCAUUGAUAAUAAUUUUAAAUAAUUUUAUAUUAAAACUGUGAAAAUAUAGAUAACUUAAGUUUAUAAAAAAACUAUUAUAUUAAUCAUCACAAGUAUCAUUCUACGGUUACACGAAGGUAAUAAACUAAACAUAAAGUUUAUGUCAAACUAAAUGCUUACAAAUAUUUCUCUUUCUUCAGGGAAAAUAUCACUCACAACCACACCUGGAUCGCGCUUCUACUUUGACAACGAUAUUGAUAUCAUCCAACGCUUCCAAAAGAGGAAUAAACUGCUAUCCUAAGCCUCAUAACAAACGACACCAGUCAACUUUUUACAAAUUUACGUUACCGUUUCCUACAUCAAUUUAAUAAGCACACACUCAAAUAUUGUUUUCUCUUACGAAUAUUGAAUUCCUCAAAACAAUUUAUUAUUCAAACUUACUGUCGUUUUUUUUUUAAAAAUGAUCACCGCUUCCAACGUCUUCGCAUUAUAAAAUAAACAAAACUUCACUUAUACUUUCAGAAACUUCAAUACUCCCAAUUUUAAUUAAACUGUACUUUUAUUAAACAUGUAAUCCGCGCGAAGCGCGGACACCGACCCUAGUAUAUAUAAUAACUAUAAGCAAAGCUAUAAAUAUCUAUUUACUCCUUUUUAUUUACAACAAUAUAAAGAAUUUAGACGGGCAUCUAUGAAAAAACUAAUGUAUUGUUGUUCCGAUAUUCUCCGUGUCGUUACUCGUUAGUCGUUGCAGAAUUACAUGAUUUUCUUAAUUAACAAUAUACAGUCCCUUAAAAGAAAAAACCUAAAGUAUUAACUUCCUCAAUUAUUUAAAAGCCACGAACUCGCAUGUGUAGAUGUGUCCGUAAUCAAUUUGUCCUCCUUUUAUGUGUUGUAAUGGACAAGUCAUGGACUCGUCAUACGAGUCUAUAUUCAAUUUCUAAUUGUUAUUUUUAUAGACUAAGGGGAGUAAAAGAAAGCGACACGAUUUUGUUUUGACUAUUUAAUAAUUGUAUGAAAGAUAUUUUCUAGCUUAUUACAUUACUAUAAAGAGAUUGUACAUGACUAAAUGUUUGGACAGAACUUACCAAAAUGGCGGCAUAUCCAUAAACUCAUUUUGUGGUUAUCUACAAUACAUGUUUUCUGUAUAAACUUGUUGUCUCACGUGAUACUCGUUUUCCAAAUUGUUGUUUUAUAACACUUCAAGUUAUCUAUACUAUAAUAUCAGGCGACAGCAACAUUUACCAAAAAUAUAUUAAUGGAGAAUAAGGAUUAUGUGUUGAAUGGUUAUGGCGACUCCUAUCCCACUCUUUCCUGAGUUUCAGUGGCAAUGUGGCAUAGGACCUUCGAUCCUUUGAACAAGAUUUCACUAUUUUAUUCUUUAGGAACUCCACGUUGUUAACUCUCAUUCUUCUCUCUCAUACUUUUUUUACAAUAAUAAAUCAAAAACCAAAAGAUUGUGGAAAAAAAAAACUAAACAGCACCAAUUAUGUCCUAGUCUUUAUUGCUUGUAUAAAAGCUUAAAGAUUAAAAAACAAUUUUAUAAUUUCUCAUCGUAUGAUCGUAUCUAGCUAAAUUUGUUUAUAUUUUUGGCUUACAAUUUCAUAUUUUCGGUUUCGGUUUUAAUAAAAAUAUUUUAUCAUUUGGAUAAAAAGAGUCUCCAAUAAAAAUCAACUUUAGAACUUCAAAAUUUUAUAAUCUAUAAUUUCUACUAUACUUUUGUAUUUUAAGAAUUUCUGGGAAAAAAAACAAAAUGAACGAAAAAAUGGCACUCCUAUCAUUUUACCUGAUUUAAACCAUUGAUCUAAAAAAAGCCAAAUUUAACAGUCUAUAGAAAAGAAAACCAACCAUCAAGAAUACAAAUAACAUAAACCAUCGAUUUUUAACUAACAUAAGUACAUAACCAUAUAGGCGCACAAGUUGAAAACGAAUACAACCAUGCAUGCAU